rnacentral:rRNA from 1 species
UAGGGAAUAUUGGACAAUGGGGGGAACCCUGAUCCAGCAAUGCCGCGUGAGUGAAGAAGGCCUUCGGGUUGUAAAACUCUUUCAGCAAUGAAGAUAAUGACAUUAAUUGCAGAAGAAGCCCCGGCUAACUUCGUGCCAGCAGCCGCGGUAAUACGAAGGGGGCUAGCGUUGUUCGGAAUCAUUGGGCGUAAAGCGUAUGUAGGCGGAUCAAAAAGUUAGAUGUGAAAUCCCUGGGCUCAACCCAGGAACUGCGUUUAAAACUAGUGAUCUAGAAUUUGGUAGGGGUUAGUAGAAUUUCCAGUGUAGAGGUGAAAUUCGUAGAUAUUGGAAAGAAUACCAGUGGCGAAGGCGACUAACUGGGCCAUUUUUGACGCUGAGAUACGAAAGCGUGGGUAGCAAACAGG